AUUUGUCUGGUUAAUUUCGAUAACGAACGAGACCUUAACCUGCUAACUAGAUUCUAUCAUCUUAUGAUUGAUAUCUUCUUAGAGGGACUAUGUAAAACAAAUACAUGGAAGUUUGAGGCAAUAACAGGUCAGUGAUGCCCUUAUAUGUCCUGGGCUGCACGCGUGCUACACUGAUGUAUACAACAAGUGCCUAACCAGACAUGGUAUGGCAAUCUCGAAUAUGCAUCGUGAUAGGGAUAGAUCUUUGCAAUUAUAGAUCUUGAACGAGGAAUUCCUAGUAAGUGCAAGUCAUCAUCUUGCAUUGACUAUGUCCCUGCCCUUUGUACACACCGCCCGUCGCUCCUACCGAUACCGGGUGAUCCGGUGAACCUUUUGGACCUGUAAGGGGAAGAUAAGUAAACCAUAUCACCUAGAGGAAGGAGAAGUCGUAACAAGGUUUCGUAUGUGAACCUGCRGAAGGAUCA
rnacentral:rRNA from 1 species